GUCGGUCUUCGGUAGUGGCCUUUCGGCGAGAGUUGCCGGCGGGCUUCGAUCGAUGACCGCC
rfam:Mycobacterium sp. 852002-51759_SCH5129042 contig_35, whole genome shotgun sequence.